rnacentral:rRNA from 1 species
GUGGGGAAUAUUGGACAAUGGGCGAAAGCCUGAUCCAGCCAUGCCGCGUGUGUGAAGAAGGUCUUCGGAUUGUAAAGCACUUUAAGUUGGGAGGAAGGGCAGUAAGUUAAUACCUUGCUGUUUUGACGUUACCAACAGAAUAAGCACCGGCUAACUUCGUGCCAGCAGCCGCGGUAAUACGAAGGGUGCAAGCGUUAAUCGGAAUUACUGGGCGUAAAGCGCGCGUAGGUGGUUUUGUAAGUUGGAGGUGAAAUCCCCGGGCUCAACCUGGGAACUGCCUCCAAAACUACUGAGCUAGAGUACGGUAGAGGGUAGUGGAAUUUCCUGUGUAGCGGUGAAAUGCGUAGAUAUAGGAAGGAACACCAGUGGCGAAGGCGACUACCUGGACUGAUACUGACACUGAGGUGCGAAAGCGUGGGGAGCAAACAGGAUUAGAAACCCUUGUAGUCC